rnacentral:miRNA from 1 species
GGCACGACCAACCAUCCUGGCUUGCCUGGGACUGAGAAUAUAUUCAGGACAUUGGCCUUGAGUUACCGAAACUAGGACAAGUUGGUCUUCCUGG